GUGCCAGCCGCCGCGGUAAUACAGAGGGUGCAAGCGUUAAUCGGAAUUACUGGGCGUAAAGCGUGCGCAGACGGUUGCGUAAGUCAGAUGUGAAAGCCCCGGGCUCAACCUGGGAAUUGCAUUUGAGACUGCGUAGCUAGGGUGCGGAAGAGGGAAGCGGAAUUUCCGGUGUAGCGGUGAAAUGCGUAGAUAUCGGAAGGAACACCAGUGGCGAAAGCGGCUUCCUGGUCCAGCACCGACGUUCAGGCACGAAAGCGUGGGGAGCAAACAGGAUUAGAUACCCGCGUAGUCC
rnacentral:rRNA from 1 species